rnacentral:rRNA from 1 species
UACGAAGGGGGCUAGCGUUGUUCGGAAUUACUGGGCGUAAAGCGCACGUAGGCGGAUUUGUAAGUCAGGGGUGAAAUCCCGGGGCUCAACCUCGGAACUGCCUUUGAUACUGCAAGUCUUGAGUCCGGAAGAGGUGAGUGGAAUUCCUAGUGCAGAGGUGAAAUUCGUAGAUAUUAGGAAGAACACCAGUGGCGAAGGCGGCUCACUGGUCCGGUACUGACGCUGAGGUGCGAAAGCGUGGGGAGCAAACAGG